CCCGCUGAACUUAAGCAUAUCAAUAAGCGGAGGAAAAGAAACUAACAAGGAUUCCCCUAGUAACUGCGAGUGAAGCGGGAAAAGCUCAAAUUUAAAAUCUGGCGUACCUUUGGGUCGUCCGAGUUGUAAUCUGGAGAAGUGUUUUCCGCGUUGGACCGUGUACAAGUCCCUUGGAACAGGGCGUCAUAGAGGGUGAGAAUCCCGUCUUUGACACGGACUACCAAUGCUUUGUGAUGCGCUCUCAAAGAGUCGAGUUGUUUGGGAAUGCAGCUCAAAAUGGGUGGUAAAUUCCAUCUAAAGCUAAAUAUAGGCGAGAGACCGAUAGCGAACAAGUACCGUGAGGGAAAGAUGAAAAGCACUUUGGAAAGAGAGUUAAACAGUACGUGAAAUUGCUGAAAGGGAAACGCUUGAAGUCAGUCGCAUCUGCUGGGACUCAGCCUUGCAUUUUUUGCUUGGUGCACUUUCCGGUUUGAUGGGCCAGCAUCGAUUUUGACCGUUGGAAAAAGGUAGAGGGAAUGUGGCACCUUCGGGUGUGUUAUAGACCCCUGUUGUAUACGACGGUUGGGAUCGAGGACCGCAGCACGCCUUUAUGGCCGGGGUUCGCCCACGUACGUGCUUAGGAUGCUGGCGUAAUGGCUUUAAGCGACCCGUCUUGAAACACGG
rnacentral:rRNA from 1 species